GGACCGCAGCCUUAAAGACGCCGCGGAGGACCCUCUCGCUCCAGCCCCGGGAGGCGGAUCUGGCGCCCGGCGGGCCGAGGGGCUGGGGCGUGGGAGUUGCGCGCGGAGGCGGGAAUGUGUGCGCGGCGGCACGCGCGGGCGCCCGUGUGCAGACGCCCGAAGGACCGGCUCGGGGCCGGUGCCAGAGACUGUCCUACUGCGCGGGUGCCGUGUUCUCUCCUCCGGGGGACGGGGAAUUGCUCUUUCCGCCUCCAGCAGUCUCAGGGCGCAGGAACCCCGCCGUCUCCAGCGGCCUCGGCCGGGCGCUGCCGGGGGCAAGGGACCGCCGGGAGAGGGACGCGGGGAGGGACCGCGCCGCAGGUUCCUGGUGAAGGGUUUCUUGGCCCUCCCGCCUCUUCGGAUGGCGGGGAAGCGUCUCUCUCCCUCCUGUCCCCACCCUCCAGCUCCAAACACAUUCCUAUUCAUGCCACUUCCUCUCUGGGAUUGUGAGAAAAAUUGACGAGGCGAUGUUUGUGCAAUCAGACAAUCAGAGCGCCUGAGAAAUUCUCUUCAGACCAGUUUUUCUCUCCUUACAAAGCGUCUGUUCGUUCAUAGGCAGAGCAUUGCGAUGUCUUUAUAUCUAAAGGGCAGAAGGCUUGAUCAUCGCUUAGCUAAGGGGCUGGGGACAUAGAGCAAACAUUUCUCUAAAGGACUCGGUGCUGUUUACUGGUCCUACAUUUCUAGUGUUGCAUUCCCUGACUAGCCAGCUUUCCUCUCUCUCAAUACCAUUUCCAAGCUACCUCUUUUUACCGGGGAAAGCAAUUGAACUAAUUUUACUACUCUAAAAACAUCAUGCAGCCAAGUAGAGUUACAAAUGAAUGAGCUUAUUAUAAGGUUUCGGGCAAAGAGAUGGGGAGGGAAGUUAUAAACAGAAAGCUGCGUGUGUAUGUGUGUAAAAUUAUAGGGAGACACUAAUAUAUGUCUGUUGUACACAACAUUCCAUUUCUGUUGAGGCAACUGAAAGAAAUCACAAAGAUGCUCAAACACAGUUUUCGCCAAGAGCCUGAGGUGGGAUUUUCCCAAAGAGUUCCAUUCCUGAAAGUCAUCAUCAGGAGAGGGCAGGCCCUGAGGAGUGAAAGGAAAGGAUCUAGUGGGAGAUUAUGUGAAAUGGGAUGGGGCUGGAGUCCUUUCACAGUUAGAGGGGGCAAGGCUGAAACACGUCUGCCCCAUGGAAGAUGCCAGCUGUCCUCAAGGACCUGGCUCUACCAGUAUUUUGAAAAUUGUGCCUGUGAUCCAGAAGUAUGGCGAAGACUGGGAAAUUCCAAGUAAUUCCAACUCCUUUGAGUCUUUGGACAAUGAAUUCAGUCAUUCAAGAGCAACUUCAAAGAAGUUAUUAAAAUGCACUAAGUUCUUUCUGAGAAGUUCUUGUGCCAUUUUUUUUCACUGUGUAAGAUACUUUUUCCUUUGUGCUUAAAACUCAGUAUUCACUUACAACUUCAAAAAUGACAGGUACUAAGAGACAUUUAAGAAGAAAUUCAGGGUUUUAGGCAUCUUAACUUAUAGAAAAAUAGCCACGGAGGGGUCAGUCUUUUUCCAUGCAUACAUUGACCUUCGGAUGCCCAAAUGAGUCACCUUGACUUGCAAUUAGUUGAACUAACACGACAGUUCCUCUUCCUAUAAAUCCACUUGCUCCACCCAGGACAUGAUUUACACUUGAAGUGAGCUCACCAC